rnacentral:rRNA from 1 species
ACUUUCCAAUGCUUGAAACAGCGAUAAGGCGACCUAGAGUGNCAGGCCACAAAUNUGGCUGUUUUGAUGCUUAAAAAGCAUUGCAUAGCAAGGGCCGGGCAAGACCGGUGCCAGCCGCCGCGGUAACACCGGCGGCUCGAGUGGUAGCCGUUAUUAUUGGGUCUAAAGGGUCUGUAGCCGGCCGGAUAAGUCUCUUGGGAAAUCUGGCAGCUUAACUGUCAGGCUUUCAGGGGAUACUGUCUGGCUCGAGGCCGGGAGAGGUGAGAGGUACUUCAGGGGUAGGGGUGAAAUCCUGUAAUCCUUGAAGGACCACCAGUGGCGAAGGCGUCUCACCAGAACGGACCCGACGGCAAGGGACGAAAGCUAGGGGCACGAACCGGAUUAGAUACCCGGGUAGUCCUAGCCGUAAACGAUGCUCGUUAGGUGUNUNCCACAGUGCGACCGUGCNCUGUGCCGUAGGGAAGCCGUGAAGCGAGCCACCUGGGAAGUACGGCCGCAAGGCUG